rnacentral:rRNA from 1 species
AUUGAACGCUGGCGGCAGGCCUAACACAUGCAAGUCGAGCGGAGCGGCGGACGGGUGAGUAAUGCCUAGGAAUCUGCCUGGUAGUGGGGGAUAACGUCAGGAAACGGGCGCUAAUACCGCAUACAUUCAGAUGAGCCUAGGGCGGAGUAGCUAGUUGGGGGGGUAAAGGCCUACAAGGGCGACGAUCCGUAACUGGUCUGAGAGGAUGAUCAGUCACACUGGAACUGAGACACGGUCCAGACUCCUACGGGAGGCAGCAGUGGGGAAUAUUGGACAAUGGGCUAAAGCCUGAUCCAGCCAUGCCGCGUGUGUGAAGAAGGUCUUCGGAUUGUAAAGGACUUUUGUCAGGGAAGCGGUACCUGAAGAAUAAGCACCGGCUAACUACGUGCCAGCAGCCGCGGUAAUAC